rnacentral:lncRNA from 1 species
UCCCAGGCUUAUUCAGUCGCUCUGCCUGCAUUUACAGCACAUAUGCAAUUGUAAUAAACACUCGCAAAGAAUAAAUGAGGUGUCAGCUUUAUUUGCCAAGGAGAUUCCCAGCUGCGACGUUAAGUUGAUUUCGCGUCUGCGAAACGGUCACAACCCACAACUUCCCAAAAUAGACCAGAAAAGCCGCAGCCCAGUCCUUCCUUCGCGUGUUCAAAAUUCAACACCGUGGAGCUAUGAGGACGCACAAUAAUAAUAAACAGCGCGUUUCUCCCGAGUGUUUUAUCCAUUUCACCCCUUACUUUGGAACUGCAACGAGCUCAAGCGCACAGCCUAAUAAAGGAUAAGCGCCGCCGUUACACCAACUCGCUACUUUUACAGCAGCACUGUUUUCAAAGGCGCGUUUGAGGCAUUUCGCGCGAGCAUUUCGGAAGGAAAGUUAUUCCAUCAUGAUUAUAAUACCUCAGAGAGCAGCAUGCAUCCAUUAUAAAUGAGAUCUAAGAAGACAUUGUGGACCGUCAUGCCCUAACUAAGAGUAAGACGGGAUCGAAAUAAUAGCAGCGAUGCCUACCUUCGCAGCAUUAUCAGUGUUUCAGAUAAGAGAUCAUCAUAAAGGGGGAAAAGCAGCUGAAGAACGGCUUCGUCCCCGGUCAGUCACCAUCUGCAUGGGCAAAGGUGAAAGACGGCGCGGGACAGCGCCUGAUGAUGGAAACACCACCACAAAAGAAGAAGACGUUUCGACGGGAGCGUCACGCGAGCCCGCGCUCCUACGUCAGUUUGGGCUCUCGCUGCACCUGAGGCCACGAUGGUUUCUCCCGUGUCAAAUCUCUUAUCCUCUCAUCAGCAAGAAGUUCUGGCGAUGCAGAGAAAAACAAGUGCGGAUGCUGGGGGGGACCGAAAGUCUCCGAAGUUGUUGCGCCGAACACGCGUUACAGUAGUAGGCGAUCGCGACGGGCUAGUUCAUUUGCAUGACACGAUGAUGAUGUUGUGCAGUUUGAUUAAAUAGUUGCUGCACGUUAUAUAUUAUCAUCCAGAACUGUACGUCUCAUGAUUGAACCUGGGAUGAUUUCAAAUGCAUGAUUUGCCAUUGGUAAUGGUAAUCGAUGAGAGUAGUUAAAUUAAAAUGAAGCAGUGCAGUCCACGUUCAUCAUGCAUUAUCUUUUUGAGUAUAUUGAUUAAUUUGAUUGUAACUAAUUAAUUUCCAAGUGCUUUGCGUGCAUAGGCGUCGAUACUGUAACCAUUCGGAAAGAGGCGCCUGUUUCCCGUUGUGAAAAUGAAAAUGUAGAUGUGAAUAAAAAGCGUGACGCUCCUCA